rnacentral:rRNA from 1 species
AUUGAACGCUGGCGGCAGGCCUAACACAUGCAAGUCGAACGAGUGGCGGACGGGUGAGUAAUGUCUGGGAAACUGCCCGAUAGAGGGGGAUAACUACUGGAAACGGUAGCUAAUACCGCAUACCAUCGGAUGUGCCCAUAUGGGAUUAGCUAGUUGGUGGGGUAAAGGCGCACCAAGGCGACGAUCCCUAGCUGGUCUGAGAGGCUGACCAGCCACACUGGAACUGAGACACGGCCCAGACUCCGACGGGAGGCAGCAGUGGGGAAUAUUGCACAAUGGGCGCAAGCCUGAUGCAGCCAUGCCGCGUGUAUGAAGAAGGCCUUCGGGUUGUAAAGUACUUUCAGCGGGGAGGCGUUACCUGCAGAAGAAGCACCGGCUAACUCCGUGCCAGCAGCCGCGGUAAUAC